rnacentral:rRNA from 1 species
AAAUUGAAGAGUUUGAUCAUGGCUCAGAUUGAACGCUGGCGGCAGGCCUAACACAUGCAAGUCGAACGGUAACAGGAAGCAGCUUGCUGCUUCGCUGACGAGUGGCGGACGGGUGAGUAAUGUCUGGGAAACUGCCUGAUGGAGGGGGAUAACUACUGGAAACGGUGGCUAAUACCGCAUAACGUCGCAAGACCAAAGAGGGGGACCUUCGGGCCUCUUGCCAUCAGAUGUGCCCAGAUGGGAUUAGCUGGUAGGUGGGGUAACGGCUCACCUAGGCGACGAUCCCUAGCUGGUCUGAGAGGAUGACCAGCCACACUGGAACUGAGACACGGUCCAGACUCCUACGGGAGGCAGCAGUGGGGAAUAUUGCACAAUGGGCGCAAGCCUGAUGCAGCCAU